rnacentral:tRNA from 1 species
GUUUACACUUUCUUUAGAAAAA